rnacentral:rRNA from 1 species
AGUACCCGGAGGAAAAGAAAUCAACCGAGAUUCCCUAAGUAGCGGCGAGCGAAAGGGGAGUAGCCCUUAAGUUUCUUAUGGUUUAGUGGAACGCUCUGGAAAGUGCGGCCAUAGUGGGUGAUAGCCCCGUACACGAAAAGCCAUUUGAGAUGAAAUCGAGUAGGUCGGGACACGUGAUAUCCUGAUUGAAUAUGGGGGGACCAUCCUCCAAGGCUAAAUACUCCUGCCAGACCGAUAGUGAACCAGUACCGUGAGGGAAAGGCGAAAAGAACCCCGGUGAGGGGAGUGAAAUAGAUCCUGAAACCGCGUACGUACAAGCAGUAGGAGCCUCUUCGUGGGGUGACUGCGUACCUUUUGUAUAAUGGGUCAGCGAGUUAUUGUCAGUAGCAAGGUUAACCGUUUAGGGGAGCCGUAGGGAAACCGAGUCUUAAUAGGGCGAAUUAGUUGCUGGUAAUAGACCCGAAACCGGGCGAUCUAGCCAUGGCCAGGUUGAAGGUGCCGUAACAGGCACUGGAGGACCGAACCCACCUAUGUUGAAAAAUGGGGGGAUGAGCUGUGGCUCGGAGUGAAAGGCUAAUCAAGCUCGGAGAUAGCUGGUUCUCCUCGAAAACUAUUUAGGUAGUGCCUCAUGUCUCACCACUGGGGGUAGAGCACUGUUUCGGCUAGGGGGUCAUCCCGACUUACCAACCCGAUGCAAACUCCGAAUACCAGUGAGUUUUAUCACGGGAGACAGACGGCGGGUGCUAACGUCCGUC